rnacentral:lncRNA from 11 species
GCUUGAACCGCAUUUCUUAAAGGAAUCAAGGUCGUGUUUGCCUUUGCCAGAUGGGGCUUCUGGGAUAGAAGUCAGAGGAACGGGCAGUAGAUGCUGGUGUAGCAGCUGCUGUGAUCUCAAAUGCCAACGUUAUUUAUCCCAGCUCAACCCCUUGGCUGCCUGCAUCAACAGAGGUGCUGCCAAGAUGUCAGUCAAAGACAUUUUCAAGCCAACUGAAGUCAGUGGAGAUCAUUUUAAAAAGUCAGGGAGUAUGUCUAUUGCCAUUUCUAAAGUUCUGUCUCACCAUAUGUCUCCAUAUUAACAUGAUUUGGUUUUUAGUUUAGAGCGGCCUUACACAAUGCUGGAAUCAUCUGUGGCUUUUAUACUUUCAUCAUAACCCAUUAUGCUGAUAGUUGGACAAACUACUGGGCAAUAGUGGCAAUUGGCAGAGAGUCUGGUGCUCCAUGCUACCUGUUCCCUAAAUGCCUGAUUGGGGAGGAGCCAAGUACCUGUUGGGAGGGCAGGUUGAGAUGAUAGGAUCCCGUCUGGGGACUACAACACUAUUCAGCCUCAUUCAGUAUUGCCAGUAAUCAGGGAUAGUGGGAUAUAUAGAAUGCAGUAUAUAGAAAUUAUCAACUUGGAGAUGGCUAUCCAGGAGGAACUGGAAUGUCCAGGUGGAAAGUGAACAAGAAGGCUUAGAUAAGAAAGAUAGCUUAAUUUUCAUAUAAAUGUAUUACAAAUUGCUGAAAACAUACAGAAAAUAUAUUUGAGAUAGAGGAAGAAAAAUGCAGACUGGGAAAGGUUGUGGGAUGGCUGGCCGUCUUCAAAGAUGGAGCCUGCUGGGAGAGAAUGAGGUAAGAUGUUUUCCCCACUCUUCCCCAUGUUUUCCCCUGCUUUUCCCUGCUUCCUUCUUGUCC